ACGGGUGAGUAAUGCCUAGGAAUCUGCCUGGUAGUGGGGGAUAACGUUCGGAAACGAACGCUAAUACCGCAUACGUCCUACGGGAGAAAGCAGGGGACCUUCGGGCCUUGCGCUAUCAGAUGAGCCUAGGUCGGAUUAGCUAGUUGGUGAGGUAAUGGCUCACCAAGGCGACGAUCCGUAACUGGUCUGAGAGGAUGAUCAGUCACACUGGAACUGAGACACGGUCCAGACUCCUACGGGAGGCAGCAGUGGGGAAUAUUGGACAAUGGGCGAAAGCCUGAUCCAGCCAUGCCGCGUGUGUGAAGAAGGUCUUCGGAUUGUAAAGCACUUUAAGUUGGGAGGAAGGGCAGUUACCUAAUACGUAAUUGUUUUGACGUUACCGACAGAAUAAGCACCGGCUAACUCUGUGCCAGCAGCCGCGGUAAUACAGAGGGUGCAAGCGUUAAUCGGAAUUACUGGGCGUAAAGCGCGCGUAGGUGGUUCGUUAAGUUGGAUGUGAAAUCCCCGGGCUCAACCUGGGAACUGCAUUCAAAACUGUCGAGCUAGAGUAUGGUAGAGGGGUGGUGGAAUUUCCUGUGUAGCGG
rnacentral:rRNA from 2 species